rnacentral:rRNA from 1 species
CCUACGGGAGACAGCAGUAGGGAAUCUUCCACAAUGGGCGAAAGCCUGAUGGAGCAACGCCGCGUGGGUGAAGAAGGUCUUCGGAUCGUACAACCCUGUUGUUAGAGAAGAAAGUGCGUGAGAGUAACUGUUCACGUUUCGACGGUAUCUAACCAGAAAGCCACGGCUAACUACGUCCCAGCAGCCGCGGCAAUACGUAGGUGGCAAGCGUUAUCCGGAUUUAUUGGGCGUAAAGGGAACGCAGGCGGUCUUUUAAGUCUGAUGUGAAAGCCUUCGGCUUAACCGGAGUAGUGCAUUGGAAACUGGGAGACUUGAGUGCAGAAGAGGAGAGUGGAACUCCAUGUGUAGCGGUGAAAUGCGUAGAUAUAUGGAAGAACACCAGUGGCGAAAGCGGCUCUCUGGUCUGUAACUGACGCUGAGGUUCGAAAGCGUGGGUAGCAAACAGGAUUAGAUACCCGGGUAGUC